AUUGAACGCUGGCGGCAGGCCUAACACAUGCAAGUCGAGCGAGCGGCGGACGGGUGAGUAAUGUAUGGGGACUGCCUGAUAGAGGGGGAUAACUACUGGAAACGGUAGCUAAUACCGCAUACUAUCGGAUAACCCAUAUGGGAUUAGCUAGUAGGUGAGGUAAUGGCUCACCUAGGCGACGAUCCCUAGCUGGUCUGAGAGGAUGACCAGCCACACUGGGACUGAGACACGGCCCAGACUCCUACGGAGGCAGCAGUGGGGAAUAUUGCACAAUGGGCGCAAGCCUGAUGCAGCCAUGCCGCGUGUAGGAAGAAGGCCCUAGGGUUGUAAAGUACUUUCAGUCGGGAGGCGUUACCGACAGAAGAAGCACCGGCUAACUCCGUGCCAGCAGCCGCGGUAAUUC
rnacentral:rRNA from 1 species